UACGUAGGAGGCAAGCGUUGUCCGGAUUUACUGGGCGUAAAGAGCGUGUAGGCGGUCUGGCAAGUCCGCUGUGAAAUCUCCUGGCUCAACCAGGAUAGGUCGGUGGAAACUGCCAGACUAGAGGACGGUAGAGGGGGGUGGAAUUCCCGGUGUAGUGGUGAAAUGCGUAGAGAUCGGGAGGAACACCAGCGGCGAAGGCGGCCCCCUGGGCCGCUCCUGACGCUGAGACGCGAAGGCCAGGGUAGCGAACGGG
rnacentral:rRNA from 1 species